AAAAAGAAAGUUGUUAGGACUGAAUGUGAAGCGCACAUGUACCUAUCCCACGAUGAUGCAUGGUGGACUGUUGACCGUUUCGAGGACACCCACAAUCACCCCCUGAUCAAAAAGCCUUCCCUAACAAAAUUCUUAUCAUCACAUCGGUACAUUCCGAAGGAGGAGCAGGACUUCUUGAGGGUUCUGCACGGAUGCAACGUUGAGACUGUGAGGCAGAUGCAGCUGAUGUCAUGGUUCUACGGGAGCGCUAAAGACGUACCCUACACGACACAAGACAUUGCUAAUCAAUGA
rnacentral:rRNA from 1 species